GUUCAGGACAGCGCGUGCACAGCAGAGCUGCGUCUGAGCGAUCGUUCCGCCGAAAAUGUCUUCUGACAGCAGUAACAACGCUUUUUUCAGGGGCUUUUUUUUUCAUCGGACAGGAACUUUCGUUUUAUCAGGUACACAGCACUGGUGGUGGCUGGAGUAAUCAUAGCAACCUGGGGACGUAACGGCGCCUGAAGAAGACAGGCCCAACUCCGGCUCUCCAGUGCGAUACUGAGAGUACUGUAACAAUCACAUUAAUAGUGUCUUUAUCGGAAGUGUUUUUAUAAUAUUAAUGCUUCUGUAAUUAUUUAAUAUAUGUCUUGAUUCAUGCGCGAUAUAGUUAUGUUUUAAAUGGAAUGGAGCUUUGUUGUUCAUUUGAAUGUUUCUGUUUGUAUGCCGUUUUGAACGCGGUUUGAUAUGUUGCUGUUAAUAUGUUGCUUUUAUCUAUACAGUAAAUGAAAAGUAUUCCAUUCAUAUGUUAUUAAAAAGUUUCUAAAAUAGUUAUGGGCCAAUAAGGACAAGUUAAAUUGCUGCAUGUACUACAUGUACAUUUACUGCAUGUCCGCCCAAGGAAUAUUCAAUA